rnacentral:rRNA from 1 species
UACGUAGGGAGCAAGCGUUGUCCGGAAUCAUUGGGCGUAAAGCGCGCGUAGGCGGCCUCAUGCGUCCGUUGUGAAAGUCAAAGGCUCAACCUUUGAAAGCCGAUGGAUACUGUGAGGCUAGAGUCCGGAAGAGGCGAGUGGAAUUCCUGGUGUAGCGGUGGAAUGCGCAGAUAUCAGGAGGAACACCGAUUGCGAAGGCAGCUCGCUGGAACGUUACUGACGCUGAGACGCGAAAGCGUGGGUAGCAAACAGG